rnacentral:rRNA from 1 species
GACGAACGCUGGCGGCGUGCUUAACACAUGCAAGUCGAACGGUGAAGCUCCAGCUUGCUGGAGUGGAUCAGUGGCGAACGGGUGAGUAACACGUGAGCAACCUGCCCCUGACUCUGGAAUAAGCGCUGGAAACGGCGUCUAAUACUGGAUACGAGAAGGGUCCGCAUGGGCACUUUCUGGAAAGUUUUUCGGUUGGGGAUGGGCUCGCGGCCUAUCAGCUUGUUGGUGAGGUAAUGGCUCACCAAGGCGGCGACGGGUAGCCGGCCUGAGAGGGCGACCGGCCACACUGGGACUGAGACACGGCCCAGACUCCUACGGGAGGCAGCAGUGGGGAAUAUUGCACAAUGGGCGAAAGCCUGAUGCAGCGACGCCGCGUGAGGGAUGACGGCCUUCGGGUUGUAAACCUCUUUCAGCAGGGAAGAAGCGAAAGUGACGGUACCUGCAGAAGAAGCACCGGCUAACUACGUG